GGGCAAUUCCGCGGGAGCUCGGGUGAACCGGGCUGAGAGGGUGGCUAUCGGGCCGCCGACCGCCUGAACCUGUCCGGGUAAUGCCGGCGUAGGGAAAGCGAGCGCCAUGUCCA
rnacentral:ncRNA from 2 species